GGCUCGUUAGCUCAGCGGUCAGAGCGCCCAUUUAUGAUAGAGGUGGUCGAAGGUUCGAAUCCUUCACGAGCCG